GGUUCUUUUUAUUGAUCAAUCUUUUAAAGUUUUUGCAUUUAGUAUCCAUAUUGAGUAGUGUUGCAUAACAUUAUAUCAAACUUAUAUCUAUUUCAUUAUGUUCCAUAUUUAAUAUAUAUAUAUACAUAAGGUUCAUUAUACAAAAUAAAUUUCAUUUUUAAAGCAUCCUCUCACAGAAGCUCUCAAAAUCAGUCACAUUUUAGAACCUAGAAACAUGAUGCAAUAAACUUCCUCUAUGUAUUUUUAUGAUGAGAUCUUAUUGCAAGUUCAUUUUUCGUAAUAAGAAACUGUGUCUUGUACAAUGCAUGGCCAAAAUGAUUCAUCUUAAAGUACAAUUUAUGUGAUUCAAGUCAAAGAAUGCAUAUGAUUAUUUUAUGAUAUAUCUACUCCACAUGCAAUACUCAACAAGUGGUACUUGUAGUACUUGUAAUCAUCUUUGCAUCAAUUUUGUAUGGUUUUUUAUUUUUAUUUUUAAAGGAUAUAAAAUAAAAUCCAAGACAUGAUUGCUAAAUCAAGGUUCGAAAUAUAAAUAAAUAAAUAAUUUAUGAAAUUCUCAAAUGCAGCACAAUAAAAAUAUUUCUAUUGGUGGCUUGUAAGAGAAGUAGCCAAGCCUUUUAAAACUUUUAUUGUAUUAUCAUUGUUUUAACAAGUCAAAACUAUUUGGGUGUGUAUACAUAUACAGUGAUACAUAUAUGCCAGAACUUAACAGAGAACACACAUGAUGAAUUUUUUGGUUUCAUUCAUGGUACUGUAAAUAUGUGCUGACAUGAU
rnacentral:lncRNA from 1 species